rnacentral:tRNA from 1 species
GGUCGCCAGGAACUCGGCGAGAUCGGUCCGCUCCUGCCGGGCCAGCUCCAGCAGCGUCAUGGGGUCACUAUUCCAUGGCGGUAG